rnacentral:rRNA from 1 species
GAUGAACGCUAGCGAUAGGCUUAACACAUGCAAGUCGAGGGGCAGCACAAGGUAGCUUGCUAUCUGGGUGGCGACCGGCGCACGGGUGCGUAACGCGUAUGCAACUUGCCCUAUACAGGAGGAUAACCCGUCGAAAGACGGACUAAUACUGCGUAUGCUCACAACUUGGCAUCAAGUGGUGAGGAAAGAAAUUCGGUAUAGGAUAGGCAUGCGUCCCAUUAGCUUGUUGGUGAGGUAACGGCUCACCAAGGCAACGAUGGGUAGGGGAACUGAGAGGUUUAUCCCCCACACUGGUACUGAGACACGGACCAGACUCCUACGGGAGGCAGCAGUGAGGAAUAUUGGUCAAUGGGCGCGAGCCUGAACCAGCCAAGUCGCGUGAAGGAUGACUGUCUUAUGGAUUGUAAACUUCUUUUAUACGGGAAUAACAAGAGUCACGUGUGACUCCCUGCACGUACCGGAUGAAUAAGCAUCGGCUAACUCCGUG